UCCGGUUGAUCCUGCCGGACCCGACUGCUAUCAGAGUGGGACUAAGCCAUGCGAGUCAACAUAGCAAUAUGUGGCAUACGGCUCAGUAACACGUAGUCAACAUGCCCAGGGGACGUGGAUAACCUCGGGAAACUGAGGAUAAACCGCGAUAGGUCAUCACUUCUGGAAUGGGUAAUGACUUAAAUCUAUAUGGCCCCUGGAUUGGACUGCGGCCGAUCAGGCUGUUGGUGAGGUAAUGGCCCACCAAACCUGUAACCGGUACGGGCUCUGAGAGGAGGAGCCCGGAGAUGGGCACUGAGACAAGGGCCCAGGCCCUAUGGGGCGCAGCAGGCGCGAAACCUCUGCAAUAGGCGAAAGCUUGACAGGGUUACUCUGAGUGAUUUCCGUUAAGGAGAUCUUUUGGCACCUCUAAAAAUGGUGCAGAAUAAGGGGUGGGCAAGUCUGGUGUCAGCCGCCGCGGUAAUACCAGCACCCCGAGUGGUCGGGACGUUUAUUGGGCCUAAAGCAUCCGUAGCCGGUUCUACAAGUCUUCCGUUAAAUCCACCUGCUUAACAGAUGGGCUGCGGAAGAUACUAUAGAGCUAGGAGGCGGGAGAGGCAAGCGGUACUCGAUGGGUAGGGGUAAAAUCCGUUGAUCCAUUGAAGACCACCAGUGGCGAAGGCGGCUUGCCAGAACGCGCUCGACGGUGAGGGAUGAAAGCUGGGGGAGCAAACCGGAUUAGAUACCCGGGUAGUCCCAGCUGUAAACGAUGCAGACUCGGUGAUGAGUUGGCUUAUUGCUAACUCAGUGCCGCAGGGAAGCCGUUAAGUUUGCCGCCUGGGGAGUACGGUCGCAAGACUGAAACUUAAAGGAAUUGGCGGG
rnacentral:rRNA from 1 species